ACCAUCUACAGCAGUAACCACCGGUCAACCUUCUGCAACAGGAACACCAUCUCCAGGUAACCCACUGGCCCACCUUCUGCAACUGAGGACCAUCUACAGCAUAACCACCGGUCAACCUUCUGCAACAGGAACACCAUCUCCAGGUGUAACCACUGGACCACCUACUGUAACUGGAGGACCAUCUACAGCAGUAACCACCGGUCAACCUUCUGCAACAGGAUCACCAUUACCAGGUGAAAGCACGAGUCCACCUUCUGUAACUGGAGGACCAUCUACAGCAGUAACCACCGGUCAACCUUCUGCAACAGGAACACCAUCUCCAGGUUUAAGCACUGGUCCACCUGCUGUAACUGGAGGACCAUCUACAGCAGUAACACCGGUCAACCUUCUGCGACAGGAACACCAUCUCCAGGUGUAACCACUGGACCACCUUCUGUAACUGGAGGACCAUCUACAGCAGUAACACCGGUCAUUCUUCUGCAACAGAAAACCAUCUCCAGGUGUAAGUACUGGUCCGACUUCUACAACUGCAGGACCAUCUACAGCAGUAACAACCAGACAAUCUUC
rnacentral:lncRNA from 1 species